rnacentral:rRNA from 2 species
UUAAGCGACUAAGCGUACACGGUGGAUGCCCUGGCAGUCAGAGGCGAUGAAGGACGUGCUAAUCUGCGAAAAGCGUCGGUAAGGUGAUAUGAACCGUUACAGCCGGCGAUGUCCGAAUGGGGAAACCCAGUGCAAUUCGUUGCACUAUCGUUAACUGAAUACAUAGGUUAACGAGGCGAACCGGGGGAACUGAAACAUCUAAGUACCCCGAGGAAAAGAAAUCAACCGAGAUUCCCCCAGUAGCGGCGAGCGAACGGGGAGCAGCCCAGAGUCUGAAUCAGCUUGUGUGUUAGUGGAACGGUCUGGAAAGUCCGACGGUACAGGGUGAUAGUCCCGUACACCAAAAUGCACAGGCUGUGAACUCGAAGAGUAGGGCGGGACACGUGGUAUCCUGUCUGAAUAUGGGGGGACCAUCCUCCAAGGCUAAAUACUCCUGACUGACCGAUAGUGAACCAGUACCGUGAGGGAAAGGCGAAAAGAACCCCGGCGAGGGGAGUGAAAAAGAACCUGAAACCGUGUACGUACAAGCAGUGGGAGCACCUUCGGGUGUGACUGCGUACCUUUUGUAUAAUGGGUCAGCGACUUAUAUUCUGUAGCAAGGUUAACCGUAUAGGGGAGCCGCAGGGAAACCGAGUCUUAACUGGGCGUUAAGUUGCAGGGUAUAGACCCGAAACCCGGUGAUCUAGCCAUGGGCAGGUUGAAGGUUGGGUAACACUAACUGGAGGACCGAACCGACUAAUGUUGAAAAAUUAGCGGAUGACUUGUGGCUGGGGGUGAAAGGCCAAUCAAACCGGGAGAUAGCUGGUUCUCCCCGAAAGCUAUUUAGGUAGCGCCUCGUGAACUCAUCUUCGGGGGUAGAGCACUGUUUCGGCUAGGGGGUCAUCCCGACUUACCAACCCGAUGCAAACUACGAAUACCGAAGAAUGUUAUCACGGGAGACACACGGCGGGUGCUAACGUCCGUCGUGAAGAGGGAAACAACCCAGACCGCCAGCUAAGGUCCCAAAGUCAUGGUUAAGUGGGAAACGAUGUGGGAAGGCACAGACAGCCAGGAUGUUGGCUUAGAAGCAGCCAUCAUUUAAAGAAAGCGUAAUAGCUCACUGGUCGAGUCGGCCUGCGCGGAAGAUGUAACGGGGCUAAACCAUGCACCGAAGCUGCGGCAGCGACACUAUGUGUUGUUGGGUAGGGGAGCGUUCUGUAAGCCUGCGAAGGUGACCUGUGAGGGUUGCUGGAGGUAUCAGAAGUGCGAAUGCUGACAUAAGUAACGAUAAAGCGGGUGAAAAGCCCGCUCGCCGGAAGACCAAGGGUUCCUGUCCAACGUUAAUCGGGGCAGGGUGAGUCGACCCCUAAGGCGAGGCCGAAAGGCGUAGUCGAUGGGAAACAGGUUAAUAUUCCUGUACUUGGUGUUACUGCGAAGGGGGGACGGAGAAGGCUAUGUUAGCCGGGCGACGGUUGUCCCGGUUUAAGCAUGUAGGCUGGUUGUCCAGGCAAAUCCGGAUAAUCAAGGCUGAGGUGUGAUGACGAGGCACUACGGUGCUGAAGUAACAAAUGCCCUGCUUCCAGGAAAAGCCUCUAAGCAUCAGGUAACAUUAAAUCGUACCCCAAACCGACACAGGUGGUCAGGUAGAGAAUACCAAGGCGCUUGAGAGAACUCGGGUGAAGGAACUAGGCAAAAUGGUGCCGUAACUUCGGGAGAAGGCACGCUGGUGUGUAGGUGAAGUCCCUGCGGAUGGAGCUGAGACCAGUCGAAGAUACCAGCUGGCUGCAACUGUUUAUUAAAAACACAGCACUGUGCAAACACGAAAGUGGACGUAUACGGUGUGACGCCUGCCCGGUGCCGGAAGGUUAAUUGAUGGGGUUAUCCGUAAGGAGAAGCUCUUGAUCGAAGCCCCGGUAAACGGCGGCCGUAACUAUAACGGUCCUAAGGUAGCGAAAUUCCUUGUCGGGUAAGUUCCGACCUGCACGAAUGGCGUAAUGAUGGCCAGGCUGUCUCCACCCGAGACUCAGUGAAAUUGAACUCGCUGUGAAGAUGCAGUGUACCCGCGGCAAGACGGAAAGACCCCGUGAACCUUUACUAUAGCUUGACACUGAACAUUGAGCCUUGAUGUGUAGGAUAGGUGGGAGGCUUUGAAGCGUGGACGCCAGUCUGCGUGGAGCCAACCUUGAAAUACCACCCUUUAAUGUUUGAUGUUCUAACGUUGGCCCCUUACCGGGGUUGCGGACAGUGUCUGGUGGGUAGUUUGACUGGGGCGGUCUCCUCCCAAAGCGUAACGGAGGAGCACGAAGGUUAGCUAAUCCUGGUCGGACAUCAGGAGGUUAGUGCAAUGGCAUAAGCUAGCUUGACUGCGAGCGUGACGGCGCGAGCAGGUGCGAAAGCAGGUCAUAGUGAUCCGGUGGUUCUGAAUGGAAGGGCCAUCGCUCAACGGAUAAAAGGUACUCCGGGGAUAACAGGCUGAUACCGCCCAAGAGUUCAUAUCGACGGCGGUGUUUGGCACCUCGAUGUCGGCUCAUCACAUCCUGGGGCUGAAGUAGGUCCCAAGGGUAUGGCUGUUCGCCAUUUAAAGUGGUACGCGAGCUGGGUUUAGAACGUCGUGAGACAGUUCGGUCCCUAUCUGCCGUGGGCGCUGGAGAAUUGAGGGGGGCUGCUCCUAGUACGAGAGGACCGGAGUGGACGCAUCACUGGUGUUCGGGUUGUCAUGCCAAUGGCACUGCCCGGUAGCUAAAUGCGGAAGAGAUAAGUGCUGAAAGCAUCUAAGCACGAAACUUGCCCCGAGAUGAGUUCUCCCUGAGACUUUAAGUCUCCUGAAGGAACGUUGAAGACGACGACGUUGAUAGGCCGGGUGUGUAAGCGCAGCGAUGCGUUGAGCUAACCGGUACUAAUGAACCGUGAGGCUUAACCUU